rnacentral:rRNA from 1 species
GAUGAACGCUGGCGGCGUGCUUAACACAUGCAAGUCGAACGAUGAAGCCCAGCUUGCUGGGUGGAUUAGUGGCGAACGGGUGAGUAACACGUGAGUAACCUGCCCUUAACUCUGGGAUAAGCCUGGGAAACUGGGUCUAAUACCGGAUAGGAGCGUCCACCGCAUGGUGGGUGUUGGAAAGAUUUAUCGGUUUUGGAUGGACUCGCGGCCUAUCAGCUUGUUGGUGAGGUAAUGGCUCACCAAGGCGACGACGGGUAGCCGGCCUGAGAGGGUGACCGGCCACACUGGGACUGAGACACGGCCCAGACUCCUACGGGAGGCAGCAGUGGGGAAUAUUGCACAAUGUGCGCAAGCCUGAUGCAGCGACGCCGCGUGAGGGAUGACGGCCUUCGGGUUGUAAACCUCUUUCAGUAGGGAAGAAGCGAAAGUGACGGUACCUGCAGAAGAAGCACCGGCUAACUACGUG